UACGUAGGGCGCAAGCGUUGUCCGGAAUUAUUGGGCGUAAAGAGCUCGUAGGCGGUCUGUCACGUCGGGUGUGAAAGCCCGGGGCUUAACCCCGGGUCUGCAUUCGAUACGGGCAGACUAGAGUGUGGUAGGGGAGAUCGGAAUUCCUGGUGUAGCGGUGAAAUGCGCAGAGUAUCAGGAGGAACACCGAUGGCGAAGGCAGGUCUCUGGGCCACUACUGACGCUGAGAAGCGAAAGCAUGGGGAGCGAACAGG
rnacentral:rRNA from 1 species